CCCGGCCCUGGGCCUCGGACGAUGCGCUGGGGGUUUUUCCGGGGGAUCCGGCGGCGGGUCUGGUGGACCCGGUGGGUUCGGUCCCUCGGGCUGCGG
rnacentral:tRNA from 1 species